rnacentral:rRNA from 1 species
UGGGGAAUAUUGCACAAUGGGCGCAAGCCUGAUGCAGCCAUGCCGCGUGUGUGAAGAAGGCCUUCGGGUUGUAAAGCACUUUCAGCGAGGAGGAAGGUGGUGAACUUAAUACGUUCAUCAAUUGACGUUACUCGCAGAAGAAGCACCGGCUAACUCCGUGCCAGCAGCCGCGGUAAUACGGAGGGUGCAAGCGUUAAUCGGAAUUACUGGGCGUAAAGCGCACGCAGGCGGUUUGUUAAGUCAGAUGUGAAAUCCCCGGGCUCAACCUGGGAACUGCAUUUGAAACUGGCAAGCUAGAGUCUCGUAGAGGGGGGUAGAAUUCCAGGUGUAGCGGUGAAAUGCGUAGAGAUCUGGAGGAAUACCGGUGGCGAAGGCGGCCCCCCUGGACGAAGACUGACGCUCAGGUGCGAAAAGCGUGGGGCAGCAAACAGGAUUAGAUACCCUGGUAGUCCACGCUGUAAACGAUGUCGAUUUGGAGGUUGUGCCCCUUGAGGCGUGGNUUCCGGAGCUAACGNGUUAAAUCGACCGCC